GAUGAACACUAGCUACAGGCUUAACACAUGCAAGUCGAGGGGCAGCGGUAUCGAAAGCUUGCUUUCGGUAGCCGGCGACCGGCGCACGGGUGAGUAACGCGUAUCGAACCUGCCUCAUACUCGGGAAUAGCCUUGCGAAAGUAAGAUUAAUGCCCGGUGUUUUCAGAGUCCCGCAUGAGGCUUUGAACAAAGAUUUAUCGGUAUGAGAUGGCGAUGCGUCCCAUUAGCUUGUUGGCGGGGUAACGGCCCACCAAGGCAUCGAUGGGUAGGGGUUCUGAGAGGAAGGUCCCCCACAUUGGAACUGAGACACGGUCCAAACUCCUACGGGAGGCAGCAGUGAGGAAUAUUGGUCAAUGGGCGGAAGCCUGAACCAGCCAAGUAGCGUGCAGGAAGACGGCCCUCCGGGUUGUAAACUGCUUUUAGUUGGGAAUAAAACGGGGCUCGUGAGCCCCCUUGCAUGUACCAUCAGAAAAAGGACCGGCUAAUUCCGUGCCAGCCGCCGCGGUAA
rnacentral:rRNA from 1 species